rnacentral:rRNA from 1 species
GGGGAGUGGGCGGCGUGCCUAUACCAUGCAGUCGAACGCUUUGUGGUUCAACUGAUUUGAAGAGCUUGCUCAGAUAUGACGAUGGACAUUGCAAAGAGUGGCGAACGGGUGAGUAACACGUGGGAAACCUACCUCUUAGCAGGGGAUAACAUUUGGAAACAGAUGCUAAUACCGUAUAACAAUAGCAACCGCAUGGUUGCUACUUAAAAGAUGGUUCUGCUAUCACUAAGAGAUGGUCCCGCGGUGCAUUAGUUAGUUGGUGAGGUAAUGGCUCACCAAGACGAUGAUGCAUAGCCAAGUUGAGAGACUGAUCGGCCACAAUGGGACUGAGACACGGCCCAUACUCCUACGGGAGGCAGCAGUAGGGAAUCUUCCACAAUGGGCGAAAGCCUGAUGGAGCAACGCCGCGUGUGUGAUGAAGGGUUUCGGCUCGUAAAACACUGUUGUAAGAGAAGAAUGACAUUGAGAGUAACUGUUCAAUGUGUGACGGUAUCUUACCAGAAAGGAACGGCUAAAUACGUGCCAGCAGCCGCGGUAAUACGUAUGUUCCAAGCGUUAUCCGGAUUUAUUGGGGCGUAAAGCGAGCGCAGAACGGUUAUUUAAGUCUGAAGUGAAAGCCCUCAGCUCAACUGAGGAAUUGCUUUUGGAAACUGGGAUGACUUGAGUGCAGUUAAAGGAAAAGUGGAAACUCCCAGGUGUU